ACCUUUUCAACCCUACGCCGUUUCCAAUCCCUCCUUGGUCUUCUUCCCCUUAGUCUGCCUCUGCAGACCAACACUUUCACCGGUUACAAAUCUUUUAUUCCUUAUUAAUCUUUUCAGCUUCCUUCUCUCUCCUUACUCACUAUAUAAGAUUGCUAGAUUCACAAAAAAAAUCCUCUCACGAGAACCAACAGAGCUCUUCAUCGCCUCCGGAGAAAACGAAUCGUUACCAACGUAUACAGUUUUCUGGAAAAAUAAUUACUCCUUAAUAUUUGGAACGAGUAAGAACAAGCAGUUGAAAGAAUUGAGGGAGAUGGAGGAGUUCGAACUCCAUCAUUGGUGGAGCUUACGGUUGAGGAUUCGGAGUUUACGGUUAAAGUUUCCUAAUUUUAAUUCACGAUUUCACUUCCUCUGUUUCAGAUAGGUGGUUUCGUUUUUGAAAGCUCUUGAUCUGGUGUUUAGGUUGUUGGACGUGUAAAAAGAAGAGAUGAAGCUUUACAGGAUAAGAUUCAUCAUCUGGUUUGUCGGGUUUUCUAACUUUCAAUCUCUGUUUUGAUGAUAAAACAAUCCAAACCGAAUGUGAGCAAUGCAGUUUCAGUUUGUUUGCUUUGUUUUUUUAAUGAAAGUUGUGGUCUUUUGCAGAGUUGUUAUUAGCUUUAAAGUUAUGGGUCUCUUUUUUUUUGGACAACAAGUUUUGGGUCUCUAAUUUCAAAAUUUGCAUUUACACAAUUAAUUGACCUCUAAACGCAAGAGAACCACACCGUUUGUUUUUUUGCCCUUCCUCUUACACUUACGCUUUCUACUUUAUGUUUUUCAGGGAACAGCUGAAAAUGGGCUAAUUGAGUUCAAGGAGAUGUAAUCUUGACACAAUUUCAAGGUUCGCAUAGCGCAAGAACGACGUUCUAGCAAUCCCUGCUUCAUCUGGUCAUCACUUAGUCUUCUAAUACUAUGACUCCAAGAGCAUGCUAAUGAAGAGGAAGAGGUGGAGUAAAAUGUUUGGCAGCAACACUCACCCCUGUGAGGGAAGUUAAAUAUAUGAUGAUCUUGAUUUUUGAUACCGGGACGUAUAUUUGCAGCUUCUUAGUAGAGUCUUUAACAUUCUCCAUGCAAACAAUCCAAAGCUCGCUGGAGAUGGGUGUUGUACAGUUAUGAGGUCUCCUUAAGUUUUUUUAGCAGGAGACAAAAAGAAGACAAUGUUUACCAAUCACAAAAUUAUAAUUUCUUCUCUCUUCUUUCAGUUCUAAUGAUUGGUUGUUAUUUGAGUUGUUGUGAUUUGUAGUAACGAUGUUUAAAGGAAGAUAGAAUCUAAGAAGUCAGUUUCAGAGAUUAAUUAUGAAGUUGAGGGUGAGGAUGGUAGUGAAUAGGUUUGUAGUUGAUCUUUUAAAAUUACGUUUCAUUGUGUAUUAUUAAAAUUCAUGAUGAAACUGGUGACUAAGAAGUUGAAAUUUGUAGCAUAAGUACAGAUGGCUGAUCUCUUUGUGUUCUUUAUUUUUUAGUAAAACUGCUAUGGAAAUGA